UUUAUGCGUACAUAACUUUUUAACAGCCUUGGCAGACUCGGUUUGGGAUAGCCCUCGGCCAAGGUAUCCCUGAUGAUUGAGUAUGAUAAUGAUUUUGGCACGAGCCAAAGUUUUAAGAAAUUCAUAAGCCAUGUUAAUUACUCGAUUUAUAUGAAUUGAUUUUAUUUGGUUGAAACAAGUUGAAAGGUGAUGAAUUUCAGUAUGUUAAACUGUUUUAUCUGUCUCCAUUUACUCAACUUUAGAUGGUUUAGAUGGUAUCUGUUUACUCACUGAGAUUUUAUAAUCUCACCACCCUCAUUUUCAACCAUUUCAG
rnacentral:lncRNA from 1 species